UCCUGAGGAACCUCAGAUUUGAAAGAAGAGUGAAUGGAAGUCAAAUGUGGAAACCACUCAAAUGUCCAUCAACUGAUGAAUGAAUAAACAAAUCGUGGUAUAUCCAUACAAGGAAUAUUAUUCACCCAUAAAAAGGAAUGAAGUCUUAAUACACCUACAACUGGAUGAACAUUGAAAACAUUAUGCUAUCCAUUCUGCUUCAGACCGGAAAGGAGAAACAGUCUUAUCUGCAUAAAAGUCCUGGUACUGCUGUAUCUCAUACUAUAAGUUCAGUUUUCUCCCUUCACCUGAGGGUAAGUUGAAGAAUAACUUCAUAAGCCAGGGAGAGAUACGUUUGGAUCAGGAGUUAGUGAUAACAGAUUGUGAGAUCCAUGAGAGCCCAGAAAAUAUCUUAGGAUCCCUAGAGCUUGGCAUAUGGAGCACCCACCUGAUUUCUGGAAGACAUUGCUUCACUUUCAUAGACAGAAGAUGUAACGACUGCCACGAAGAUCCCUGGAGCUCUGCCUGGCGAUUCUCACUCCCACUGGGUAGCUGACAAAUUUUCCCUGAGAAGACAUGGUUUCCUCCAGCAGCAGCAGAAGGAGUCAUGGGUUUUUCUGUUUCAUGGCUCAAACUGUUGUGACUCGGAAUUAUACUAGGACAGGGCCCUGACUUAUUCUUCUGGGCUGGGCUGAGUAAGGCCUGGCUGAGUGUAGCUGGGUACACAGGUAGGGGUGGAAUCAAAGCUGGAGGUACCCAUAAUGCUGGUUAGGAGGAUAACUAGCUAGAAUAAGGUUGGCAAGAACUGGGUGAGCAGGGAUAGGAAUUAAGACUGAGGACUGGGCUGAGGGUAGGUCAGGGGUUCUGGCAGCAACACAGCUGGAAUGAAUGGAGAAGCACACAAACAAAACCAAGCUAAGAAGAGCCUAGAUCAAGCUUGUCCAACCCAUGGCCCACAGGCUCCAUGUGGCCCAGGAUGGCUUUGAAUGUGGCCCAGCACAA
rnacentral:sRNA from 1 species